GCCUGGGUGGCUCAGUCAGUUGAGCAUCUGACUUCGGCUCAGGUCAUGAUCUCACUGUUUGUGGAUUCAAGCUCUGCAUCGGGCU
rnacentral:tRNA from 1 species